ACACCCCAUGCUCUCCUGGCUAAGCGGAUUCAGCGCUGGCCAACAAACCCAGACAGAGACCUUGGGCAACAUUACCAAAUCCUUCAGGCCUCAGCUGUGAAAUGGGUGUGACUGAAACCUCUUUCCAGGCUGUGGUUGAGACUAACUGCGUUAUCACACACAGCACGCUUGGAACAGCACGCAAUGGAUACUAACUAUUAAAAUUGUGCUUAAACCUGG